AGGACGAACGCUGGCGGCGUGCCUAACACAUGCAAGUCGAACGCGCUCCAUUCGGUAGCAAUACUGAUGAAGAGUGAGUGGCGAACGGGUGAGUAACACAUGAGCAACCUGCCCCGAAGACUGGGACAACACCGGGAAACCGGUGCUAAUACCGGAUAUCCCUAUCGGACCGCAUGAUCUGAUAAGGAAAUGGAUUCCGCUUCGGGAGGGGCUCGUGGCCUAUCAGCUAGUUGGUGAGGUAACGGCUCACCAAGGCAUCGACGGGUAGCUGGUCUGAGAGGACGAUCAGCCACACUGGGACUGAGACACGGCCCAGACUCCUACGGGAGGCAGCAGUGGGGAAUCUUGCGCAAUGGGCGAAAGCCUGACGCAGCAACGCCGCGUGGAGGACGAAGGCUUUCUGAGUUGUAAACUCCUUUCAGCAGGGACGAUAGUGACGGUACCUGCAGAAGAGCACCGGCCAACUACGCGCCAGCAG
rnacentral:rRNA from 1 species